CCCUUAGAUGUUCUGGGCGGCCCGCGCACUACAAUGGCGUGUGCAGCGAGUGCCGAAGUAGAGUUUUCCGAGGUAUUCUUGCAAUGCUCGUUUUGAUGGGGAUAGACCCUUGCAACUGUUGGUUUUGAACGAGGAAUUCCUUGUAAGCAUGGUUUAUCAUCCGACGCUGAAUGCGUCCCUGCCCUUUGUACACACCGCCCGUCGCUCCUACCGAUUGAAUGCUCAGGUGAGCCAUUCGGACCUUCAUCAUGCUGGUUUCCAGUUUUGAUGAAGGAAAGUCUUGCGAACCUUAUCAUUUAGAGGAAGGAGAAGUCGUAACA
rnacentral:rRNA from 1 species